GACGAACGCUGGCGGCGUGCUUAACACAUGCAAGUCGAACGGAAAGGCUCCAGCUUGCUGGAGUACUCGAGUGGCGAACGGGUGAGUAACACGUGGGUGAUCUGCCCUGCACUUCGGGAUAAGCCUGGGAAACUGGGUCUAAUACCGGAUAGGACCGCACUUUGGUGUGUGUGGUGGAAAGGUUUUUCUGGUGUGGGAUGAGCUCGCGGCCUAUCAGUUUGUUGGUGGGGUAAUGGCCUACCAAGACGGCGACGGGUAGCCGGCCUGAGAGGGUGGACGGUCACAUUGGGACUGAGAUACGGCCCAGACUCCUACGGGAGGCAGCAGUGGGGAAUAUUGCACAAUGGGGGAAACCCUGAUGCAGCGACGCCGCGUGGGGGAGGAAGGCCUUCGGGUUGUAAACUCCUUUCGCUAGGGACGAAGCUUUUUGUGACGGUACCUGGAGAAGAAGCACCGGCUAACUACGUG
rnacentral:rRNA from 1 species